UACGGAGGGUGCGAGCGUUGUCCGGAAUUAUUGGGCGUAAAGAGCGUGUAGGCGGCCCGACCAGUCCGCUGUGAAAGUCCAGGGCUCAACCCCUGGAAUGCCGGUGGAUACUGUCGGGCUAGAGUCCGGAAGGGGCGAGUGGAAUUCCUGGUGUAGCGGUGAAAUGCGCAGAUAUCGGGAAGAACACCCGUGGCGAAGGCGGCUCUCUGGGACGGUACUGACGCUGAGACGCGAAAGCGUGGGGAGCGAACAGG
rnacentral:rRNA from 1 species